UUUACGAAGAGUUUGAUCCUGGCUCAGGGUUAACGCUGGCGGUAUGUCUAAUACAUGCAAGUCGAGCGCCCCCACCGUGUUUUCAACAGAAUCAAGUAAAGCUUGAUUCCAUUUUAGUAGAAGUUGAAGAUAGGGUGGGGGAGCGGCGAACGGCUGAGUAAUACGUUGGAACCUGCCCUAAACUCAGGGAUACCUCGCAGAAAUGCGAGUUAAUACCGGAUAGUCCCGCAAGGGUAAAGAUNNNNNNNNNNNUCCAUACUCCUACGGGAGGCAGCAGUAAAGAAUAUUUCGCAAUGGAGGAAACUCUGACGAAGCGAUACCGCGUGAGCGAAGAAUGCCGAAAGGUUGUAAAGCUCUUUUCUGGGGGAAUAAUUUUGAAUGUACCCCAGGAAUAAGCACCUGCUAACUACGUGCCAGCAGCAGCGGUAAUACGUAGGGUGCGAGCGUUACCCGGAAUUAUUGGGCGUAAAGCGUCCGCAGGUGGUUUGUUAAGUUAGGUAUUAAAUCUUGAAGCUCAACUUCAAGGCUGUAUCUAAAACUGGCAUACUAGAGUUUUUCAUAGGUACGUGGAAUUCUGUGUGUAGGGGUAAAAUCCGUAGAUACACAGAGGAACACCAAAAGCGAAGGCAGCGUACUAGGAAACAACUGACACUCAUGGACGAAAGCGUGGGGAGCGAACGGGAUUAGAUACCCCGGUAGUCCACGCCCUAAACUAUGGAUACUAGGUGUUGGAGGAUUCGACCCCUUCAGUGCCAAAGCUAACGCAUUAAGUAUCCCGCCUGGGAACUACGAACGCAAGUUUAAAACUCAAAGGAAUAGACGGGGACCCACACAAGCGGUGGAGCAUCUGGCUCAAUUCGAUAGUAAACGAGGAACCUUACCUAGGUUUGAAAUCUCGGGAACCUGGCGGAAACGCUGGGGUGCCUUUUGGAACCCGAAGACAGGUGUUGCAUGGUUGUCGUCAGCUCGUGCCUUGAGGUGUUCGGUUAAGUCCGUAAACGAGCGCAACCCAUGUUUCGUGUUGUUUUUUCACGAGAGACUGCCCCGCACAACGGGGAGGAAGGUAUGGAUGACGUCAAAUCCGCAUGGCCUUUAUAUCUAGGGCUGCACAGGUGCUACAAUGGUCGGUACAGCGGGUAGCAAUUUCGCAAGAAGGAGCCAAUCCCUAAAACCGAUCUAAGUUCGGAUUGAGGGCUGCAAUUCGCCCUCAUGAAGUUGGAAUCGCUAGUAACCGCGUAUCAGCAAUGGCGCGGUGAAUAUGUUCCUGGGUCUUGUACUCACCGCCCGUCACGUCAUGAAAGAUGGGGGCACCCGAAUUACCCUUACUCGCUUCGGCGAGGGGGUCCUAAGGUGAAACCAUUGAUUGGGACGAAGUCGUAACAAGGUAUCCGCAGGAGAACCUGCGGAUGGAUCACCUCCUUU
rnacentral:rRNA from 1 species